UUAAGGUAUUUACUCGGCAGCAUCUGCUGCUAAAUUGCUUCUCAGUUGAGGACUGCUUUACAAACACUGUAUUUUUCUGCCCCUACCCCAUCACUCGGAGGCUACACAACCCAUGUGAAGGAAGCAGGGCGUAAAAGGGAGCUUUGUGUUCACUGGUGUUACCUAAUGCCUUGGAGCUGGGUGAGGUUUGGGUAAAACGGGAGAUAGAAAUGCCAGGAAGAAGCUUUUCCUCCUAUUGCAUCUUCAUGUGGAUAAUCUGAGUCUGUCCCAGGACUCUCUUAUGGAUAAACUGUUAACGUUUAUAAAUGCAAAAUCAGCCCCUGCUGUAAAUACAAGCAUUUUUUCCUAGCUCUAGGCUGCUGAUGUUCUGUGCCCUGAUCUCUUCUGGGAUGGCAAGGAGCCUGGUAACUUCUUUCAGCCACUCCUUGACUGACUUUUUCCUGCCCAGCCUGGCUUGCUCAGCCCCAGCCCCUCGAUUUUUGUGCUUCUUGAUGAGGGGAAGGCAUUGUUUUUGGAGGCUGAGGGGGGUACAGGCUGGGCAAGGAGAUGGACAUCAGCCAGAGCUGGCCCCAGCUGCACCACAGCGCUGCUCCAGGGAAAGUCCCCACGUACACUGUGGUGUGCAAGAGGCAGGCACCAGGGAGGCAGGCAGGAUGCAAAUCAAUCAAGAUCUGUCAAACACCCCAGAGAACUCCUUUUUAUGAGAUAAAUGCCUUCAGAGGAAGCCUUCAGAGACACUCACCACGUGUUCAGCCCGCUCAGUGGCAGAUCGCGCAGCAUUCAUCACUGCCACUUGCAGGGGCCAGGUUCCAGCUGAACAUCCUCCAAAUUUCUUCCUCCUUCAGCCUUCCUCUCCCCAUUCCCCUCGCUGCCCACCCAGAGGAAGAAGAGUUGCAUUUGCAGCCAUGUGAAGCUGUCCCUGGGAGGUGCUCACUGGGCUUCAGCUGCCUACAUCGCCUGCAAGGACCCGAAGUCGUCCAAAUAAGUCACAAAUGGGAAAAGGCAAUAGCCUGCCAGGAUGCACCUCGGACUCCUCCUCCCCUAACAUUUCUGGCUGUAAUAUAUCAUUUUUACUGUGAUUACUGCUUCUGUGAAGUUCUGUUAUGUGCUGGGCUCGCCCAGCCUGAAGAUGAGUGAGGGGACUCCAUCACAGCAGGGCGCUGCUCCCUGCCUCUCCUUCCACGUGCCAGCCCAUUUCCAGGCCGAGGCGUUUUAUUCCCUUACUCAGGAUCUCCUCCUACAUUUGAGCAGCCAGACCUAUGGCUCUCAGCUCUUAUUUCCAAGCUAUGCCCCCAGGCAACCACCCUGGAUAACACCCGCAAGGUUAAACACCGCACCUGGGGAGCGGGGAAGGCUGCGGCAGCAGGUGUGAAGCCUCCAUGGAUCCCACUGUUAAGGCUAGGAGAGAAAGAAAGGGUAAAGGAAGGCACAAAAAGGCCCCAUUUUCUGGUCCUAAGCCAGUUACCAUCCUUAGGGAUUAGCUUCAGCUCGGGAGCAAAUUGCCCUAAGCCUUCCUGCCGCGGGGCUCUGCUCCGCACCGCUGCAGCUGUCAGAGGGGACGCGGCGCAGGAUUAGGGAGACGGAGCUCUGUCAAGAGCCCAGCGAGCAGCGAUGGGGCAGAAACGAAGCUCUCCUCCUGCGUGGGGACACGAGGCAGCGAUGGAAAUAACCAGCCCCCCACCUCUGAUCCCCGGGCUGCGGGGUUAAGGGCACGGUCACCAGCAGCUCGGCACCCUCCGAGGCUCCAAGACCGAUUCUCGUCGCGCAGUAAAGCUCCAGGAUUCAAAGAAAAAAGAUCAGAGCACGGCCCCAUGAAAGUCUAAGGCAUUAGAAAAGGAUGUGACCGAAAUAUUCUGUGGCUAUUGGACAUGGAUGGAAGGAAAGAGGAGGGAAAUGAAUACACAUCUGACUGCUAAUGGCCCAGCCUGCUCUCCUCUCAUCCUCAGAAGGAACAAGAUUCAUAAUCAGCAGCAAGCAUCUGAAAGUCCAGGCUGGACUCCAACAUCAAACCCUCCAGAGCCCCGUGAGUAAAGCCACUGCCAAGGUUACCCCGUGACUUACGGCUGUGGGAGAAAUGGGUUGGUGCAUGGCAGAGAUCACCAAAAAGGGAUCCCAGAAGGGAGGGCGAGGAUGCUCCAAAACCUGUUCCAGCACCAAAUCCAACCGCCCAGGGGGCUGCUGCAGCAGAUGGGGAGCGCUCCCACCCCCUGCCCAAACCCUGGAGGAGCUGGGACAUGGAACCAGCUGGGAAAAUAAGCCAGGGAACAAAUGGGGGGACAGAGGUCCUGGCCUGGCCCAGAGAUGAUCCCUUAAAGAGGAGGCGGCAGCACAUGGGCACAAGUCAAAGAGGGGCAGAAAAGAGAGGAAGACUUAAAUCCCAGCUACUUCUCUCCCACCUCUGCUCUGAGGCCCAGGACCUAGCCAAAACAAAGCAGGAGCCGAGAAAAAGAUCAAGACUUCAGCUACAAGUAUUUAUUUGCAGGUGCUAAAUGAUUUCUUGAUUAAUUCUGCAACCUGCUGCUUACUCAUCUCCAGCCAUCGCUGCUCAGCAUUUAGCACAGACCAUAUUUUAGCUCAACAAAGGGAACUUUCAGGCUGAAACCUGCCUGAUGUGGGCAGCAGGGCAGUAAUUGGUUUGAGAAACAAAACACUGAGAAAGAACACGCAACUCAUCUGAAACGCUUUUAGUUUGAAAAAAGCUGGUUUACCAUCAGCACACGUCUAAAUUUCUCCAGACCUAAUAAAGAAUCAUCAUCGGUACAGCAGAUGUUAAGUGCAAGCAUUACUUUGAAAGAGAAAAAAAAA